GGGGGCAUAGCUCAGUUGGGAGAGCAGCAGACUGAAGAUCUCAGGACUUCUGAAGGUCCCGCGUUCAAUCCGCGGUGCCCCCA